UUUGAUUGAUAUCUCACUCUCCCUCAGGGCCUCCAUUACCCGGCGCUGGAACCUCACAUGAUUUUACAAUCAUGCGCAAACCUCAAUCGCUGUUUUUCCUGACUGUUUUUGGAUUCCAGAUCAUUCCUCACAUUACUUCUUCUUCUUCUUUUCUUUUCUGGUCUUUUUUUUUUUUUUUAACACAUAACUGCAUCCACGCUGAUCCCCAGAGGACGAUGCGUUGUCUGCCCUUCCUCUCGCUGUCAGACGCGGGGUUGAUACGCCUCGCUCUGGUUGGCGUGUUUUCCAGAAGAGGUUCUCUUGUGUGAAAAAGCAGUAAUGCGACAAGCGACACAUCAGUUAUCAUUUUCUCAACUCUAUGCAAAUUAGGGGUAAAGCGAACAAAUCCAAAUAAUUGGCUUGGACCAAUCCUGUCACAUGUGGUCUGAUGUUUCUUC
ensembl:lncRNA